GGCUUAACACAUGCAAGUCGAGGGGCAGCAUGGUCCUAUCUUGCUAAGGCCGAUGGCGACCGGCGCACGGGUGAGUAACACGUAUCCAACCUGCCGUCUACUCUUGGACAGCCUUCUGAAAGGAAGAUUAAUACAAGAUGGCAUCAUGAGUCCGCAUGUUCACAUGAUUAAAGGUAUUCCGGUAGGCGAUGGGGAUGCGUUCCAUUAGAUAGUAGGCGGGGUAACGGCCCACCUAGUCUUCGAUGGAUAGGGGUUCUGAGAGGAAGGUCCCCCACAUUGGAACUGAGACACGGUCCAAACUCCUACGGGAGGCAGCAGUGAGGAAUAUUGGUCAAUGGGCGAGAGCCUGAACCAGCCAAGUAGCGUGAAGGAUGACUGCCCUAUGGGUUGUAAACUUCUUUUAUAAAGGAAUAAAGUCGGGUAUGGAUACCCGUUUGCAUGUACUUUAUGAAUAAGGAUCGGCUAACUCCGUGCCAGCAGCCGCGGUAAUACGGAGGAUCCGAGCGUUAUCCGGAUUUAUUGGGUUUAAAGGGAGCGUAGAUGGAUGUUUAAGUCAGUUGUGAAAGUUUGCGGCUCAACCGUAAAAUUGCAGUUGAUACUGGAUAUCUUGAGUGCAGUUGAGGCAGGCGGAAUUCGUGGUGUAGCGGUGAAAUGCUUAGAUAUCACGAAGAACUCCGAUUGCGAAGGCAGCCUGCUAAGCUGCAACUGACAUUGAGGCUCGAAAGUGUGGGUAUCAAACAGGAUUAGAUACCCUGGUAGUCCACACGGUAAACGAUGAAUACUCGCUGUUUGCGAUAUACUGCAAGCGGCCAAGCGAAAGCGUUAAGUAUUCCACCUGGGGAGUACGCCGGCAACGGUGAAACUCAAAGGAAUUGACGGGGGCCCGCACAAGCGGAGGAACAUGUGGUUUAAUUCGAUGAUACGCGAGGAACCUUACCCGGGCUUAAAUUGCAGAUGAAUUACGGUGAAAGCCGUAAGCCGCAAGGCAUCUGUGAAGGUGCUGCAUGGUUGUCGUCAGCUCGUGCCGUGAGGUGUCGGCUUAAGUGCCAUAACGAGCGCAACCCUUGUUGUCAGUUACUAACAGGUUCCGCUGAGGACUCUGACAAGACUGCCAUCGUAAGAUGUGAGGAAGGUGGGGAUGACGUCAAAUCAGCACGGCCCUUACGUCCGGGGCUACACACGUGUUACAAUGGGGGGUACAGAGGGCCGCUACCACGCGAGUGGAUGCCAAUCCCCAAAACCUCUCUCAGUUCGGACUGGAGUCUGCAACCCGACUCCACGAAGCUGGAUUCGCUAGUAAUCGCGCAUCAGCCACGGCGCGGUGAAUACGUUCCCGGGCCUUGUACACACCGCCCGUCAAGCCAUGGGAGCCGGGGGUACCUGAAGUGCGUAACCGCGAGGAGCGCCCUAGGGUAAAACUGGUGACUGGG
rnacentral:rRNA from 1 species